GUGUUACCUCUAUUGAAGUAACUCAUAGGUUUUUUUCAGGCCAUAAGGGCCCAUGUAUUCUGACCUUUUUUUCUAACACUGGACAUAGAAUCUUACCCUGCAGCUUCUUGAGCUAACGGAGUCUUGCUCCCAAUUACUGCACGAGCACUGUUGGCAUUUUAUUGUAUUUCUCAUGGCAGUCAUUCUGCAAAACAUUAAAAAAUGUUUUAGAAGACGAUACGAUAAUUCAUGCUAUUAAUUUUUAACUUCACUCCAUAGUACAACAGAUUCACUUUCCAGCUGUGGCACAGGAGGCCCAAGCAUGUUUCUCCACCUAAUUCAUUGUUUCCAGGAAGCUUUCUACAUCAUCCUUACCUGACAGCAAGGGAAUGUUAUCAAAGGUCUCGCUUUAGCUAUAUUGCCCUUCCUGCUAGGCAUAUUGUUUCCUUUACAUGGAAUUUAUGUGUCCAACACUACAAUUCUGGCACUUGCCAAAGUCACCCAGGGUAACUGCUCCUGUUUAUUUUUAUUGCCAAGCCGAAAUGCUGCUUGAAUCCAGGACACCCUCCUUUCCCUUUAAUCUUGAUGCAUUCUGAAAGGAAGUGCAAAACUGAACUGUUCACUGAAGUCUUCAGGAAGAAGUUUUGCUCUUACAACAACAUGUGUGCAAACAAAAUCUUUCAUCUUGAUUGAUAAGUACACAAUGCUUUAUUCACCAGAGACCAGGAUUAAAUGAAAUAUGAACUGUGACUUCCAGAAACUGCUGCUGAAGAUGAGACCGGACUGAAAAGUCUCAGUAAGGAUGGGAACAUUGUUGUUGAAUCAGAUAAACUAAAGAGAAGAAACUACUCGUUUUCGAGAGCCCUGGAUGCUCUAAAUGCUGAGGAUUUCCCAACCAGAGGCUUUUGGAUGUUUCCAGCCAAGAAGGAUUUGGCAAAAGAUCCAGAUACGUUGUGAAUGCUUUUCAACUUCUGGAGGUUCAGGUUAUAUAAGCACAACAUGUUUAUACAGAAGAAGGGGUAGUUAUCUCAGAGGAAGAGAGGAGCACAAAUCUUUCUUAUUGCUGGCAUCUGACAAGAAAGCAUUCCUAUUGAUCUGUUUUGUGCUCCAGAACAGGAUUGACCCUGGUCUCUCAGGCUGUCUCAGGUUGAAAUACUUGAAAAUCUCCCAGACCUUUAUCUCCCCUGGAAGUGGAAGCCUUCUGGCGCACCAUUUUGCUCUCUAAAGGAACAUGACAGAGCUAAGUAAACCAAAAUGAAAAGUCAGACUUAUGAACAAAGUUCAUAAAGACUGCAACACAACUUAGUUCAUAUCACAGUAGACACAUGGAUCUAUACAAAAACAAGGCCUUCCUCCAUUUCAGCAUCCCUUCAGAGACUUCCUUUGAGCUCAGUUCAGAUUUUUUGGACCAGUACUGGGAUUUCUGAUCAAAUCAUACCCUUCUUCUGAAACAUGGGACACUCCCAACCUACCCUAUGUUUUCUAACCCAAUCCCUCCAUUAAAGCAGUUCAUUUGUCUCAUCUUGUCUCGUCAUCCCCUUGAGCCUCGACAGUUAAAUCCACCACAGCUAGACCCUGAAGGCCAAGCCUGUGACACCAAGCCCUCUCUGGCAUGGCUCCCAUCUCUUGACCAAUGAAUUCCUCUCGUAUGGUAAUGCGUAAAUUGGUUUGCAGCUCUCCCUGCUUUCGUCGAAUCUACUUUGCUUCAGGAUACCAUGACUAAAUGCAGAGUCCAAAGGCUUUCACUGUCUGAGAUGGCUUCCCAGGAUUCGGCAGAUCCUCCAUCUCAGAUUACAAAGAACUAGUGUGGCUCUGAGCAUGAGUGAGUUUUAGUCGGGACUGCUAGAAGACAGCUGAUAUGAAAGCACUAUGACAGCUAAAUACGUAUGCUUUUAUAUAAACCUUCAAGGUCUUUGUAAUAUAAAUGAAGACAAGAUACAAAUCCUAAAGUAAGAGAGGAACGUCCCACUCUCUGGAUCUUGUGACUGCACUCCAUUGCAAUACUCCUGCAUAGAAUCACUAUGGAGCCCAAAGCAUCCCCUGGCCUCCACAAGAGAAAAUGUUGAGUCUCAAGAAGCAAUCUUACACCAGUCCACGGGGAUAUUCUUAGAAAGCUCAAAGAGGAUAAAUGCACUAUUCCUGAGUUCACUGCUCCUCAGAGUUGCCUCCCACCAUCCUACAAGCCAUUACAGUCUGUCACAACAGUGACAGAAUAUGAUAGGAGG
ensembl:lncRNA